AGUGAACGCUGGCGGUAGGCCUAACACAUGCAAGUCGAACGGCAGCACAGGAGAGCUUGCUCUCUGGGUGGCGAGUGGCGGACGGGUGAGGAAUACAUCGGAAUCUGCCCAGUCGUGGGGGAUAACGUAGGGAAACUUACGCUAAUACCGCAUACGACCUUCGGGUGAAGGAGGGGGAUCGCAAGACCUCUCGCGAUUGGAUGAGCCGAUGUCGGAUUAGCUAGUUGGCGGGGUAAUGGCCCACCAAGGCGACGAUCCGUAGCUGGUCUGAGAGGAUGAUCAGCCACACUGGAACUGAGACACGUUCCAGACUCCUACGGGAGGCAGCAGUGGGGAAUAUUGGACAAUGGUCGCAAGCCUGCUCCAGCCAUACCGCGUGGGUGAAGAAGGCCUUCGGGUUGUAAAGCCCUUUUGUUGGGAAAGAAAGCUUUCAUGCUAAUACCCUGGGAGGAUGACGGUACCCAAAGAAUAAGCACCGGCUAACUUCGUG
rnacentral:rRNA from 1 species